ACACACUCACAUUUCUAUUAAUUAUCAUAUAAUACUUCAACUUUACCUUUUCUCUUCCACAAAACUAUUUCUCUUCAUCAAAUCAUAUUGAUCCAUCCCAGCUUUUACUCAUCCUCCUCUAUGGCCGUCUCACCUAAUUCAAGUUCCUUAGAGUUAACAAUAUCAAUUCCAAGCUUCUCUCCAUCUCCUUCACUCCCUUCAUCCGGUAAUCACAUGGUGAGAGAUUUGGACAUAAAUCAAACUCCAAAGACGAAAAACGAUCGUGAGUGGAUCAUGAUCGGUGCAACACCGCAUGUCAACGAUGACGAAGGCUGCUCUGGCGGCAGGCGGCGCAAAAAGCUCCGUCUAACCAAAGACCAAUCGCAUCUUCUUGAAGAUAGUCUUAUAAAAAAAACCAUACCUUAACCCAUUCGGCUGAUUAUGCUAUGGUUGGAUGAUGAUGAAAUCACAGAAACAAAAACAAGAAUUGGCCACUUUUCUUAAGCUUAGUCAAAGGCAAGUUGAGGUGUGGUUUCAAAAUC